UUGUUAAUAAUUUUUUAUUUUUUGGUUGCUCAGAAUGCAAGAAAGAGCAUUUCCAGGUUUCAAAUUUCAAAAAUUUUCUGGAGAUUUUGCCCCCACACACGUGGCCUUCGGCCAUUGGUAUCCCCCUCUAAUAAGUAUAAUGAUAAGUUACGGUUAAUAUUCUUUUUUACUUUUUGUGCAUUUUUUCCUUCUUUUAUUUCAAAUACAAGUAUAGUUAGCAUAAAUUUUAGAGCAAAUUUGGAUGCUCAGAAUGCAGGAAAUGGCAUUUCCGUGUUUCAAAUUUCAAAAAUUUUCUGGGGGAGUACACCCCCACACAUGUGACCAUUGGGAUCCUCCUCUAAUAAGUAAUGAUAAAUUAUGGUUAAUAUUUUUUUUAACUUUCUGUGUUUUUUUUUCCUUCUUUUAUUUCAAAUACAAGUACAGUUAGUAUACAUU